GGGCAGGGAAGUUGGCUGCUGCGAAGCGCGGUGGCUGCUGGCGCGCGGUGCGCGGCUAGCUGCAGUGAGACCUGGCCGCCUCGGGAGGGAGGCGGCGGCCCCGAAAGGCCCCUGCGGGGCUUGAGAGAAGGUGGGAGUCCCCGGGACCGCCGCCUGUUGGCUUGCUGUGGAACGAAAAGCCCAAGCGUUGCGCGAGCCGAGACUAAGUGGACAUUGCUGGUACCUGGAGCUCGGGGAAAGCGCCGAACUGGGAGGCCUGAGGAGCCCCAGGCGGUGGAGGAAGCCGAGGGCCCUGAGGGAAGUCGGGCGCCAGGUCACCCCGCUACUGCUGGAGGCUGAGGCCCGGACCUGGGAACUCCAUGCUCUCUGGAAACCAAUUCUGGUCCCGAAAAGCUCCCAGAAAGUUCGGUACCCGUUCCCCCCCACACACCGCUGCCCUCCACGCCGCCGCCAGCCAGCGACCUUUACCAGACGCCUAGGUCAACUCUUCCCAACUAGGGCGUUCUGGGCACCACAAGGCCUCCUCCCUUCAAGGCCGGCUGCCCUGCCGGGUGGCAUCCACAACGGUGGCUUUUGCCACUGUCUCCUGGCUCUGUCAGGACUCCGGAGGGGCCAGAAUCAUCCAUCUUGGCGGACGGGAAGCUGCAGAGAGAGCCACAGCUGUCCCACUUGGCGCCCACCCCCUUACUUCUUUGAAACGUCCUAGCUGGGAUUGUUGUGGGGCCAGCUCAGAGAUCUCGGUAGAAGGUUGAGGAAGUUUGUGAAGUGGCUUGGGGGUGAGAAGAUUUUGCUGGGACCAUGGAAACUGGCCUAGUCUCUUUGUGAAUGUCAUUGGCUUAUUCUUCACGGCACACCUGGGGAGUACAUCCAUGCUGUUAUCCUCUGUUCACAGCUGAGGCAACUGAGACUGGAAGAGGCAAAGUGUUUUGUCCAAGAGCACAACAGGGGCAGGGUGAGAAAUCAUCAUUCAUUCAAUCAUGAGUCUAUUCAGCACCUACUCUUGGCGAGGCACCAAGGUCUGUGUGGCAGCAGUGCACAGAGAGGGGCACUGUCUGUGUGGCCUCUGCCUUGCGGGAGCCUGCAGUGCGCUGGGGCAACAAGCAAUCUGUGGAUUAUGCCUCUGCAAGUACUGUAGACAGCAAGGACCAGACUUUAGAUAAGGAGAAGGUGAGAAUCCCCCAAAAUUUCUAAAUAUGGUAGGAUUCCAAAGCCUUGAGAAAAGGAUAGAAUUUUGAGAAAUGGAGGCUGUGAGUGGUGGGAAUGACACAAGGACAUGGAGGUGGGCAAAUGUAAGAUGCACUGCAGAAUGUCUGGCAUUUGCAGGAAAAGGGCUGGAAAGUGGAAAGGACACCGAAUCCAAGACACUGAAUACCAAGCUAAAAUAUUUGGAUUUUAGCCAUUGGGCAGUGGAAGCAGGACUCACCUCUGAUUUCUCCCAUUUGUUCAUGUGCUGUUCUGAGUGCUAAUAUACUACAUGCUUAGUCUACAUGCAUUUUGUGAUGUUUUGGCUUUUUUUUUCCUCCCAGAUUAAUUUCACACUUUAAUAAAAGUCCCCAUCAUGAUGUAUGUAAUAGAUAUAUAUGUGUGUAUAGAUAUAUAAUUUUUUUUCAACAGGAAACUUUUCAGUUUUUUGGUCGGUUAAAUGUUUGUUCCCUUUGCACGUCACACCCACCCUCUACCAUCCACUCUCCUCCCUUUCAGUCUCUAGUAUCUACAUUUGUCCUCUCUACCAUCAUAUCUUCAGAUCACCCAAUCUCUGCCACAGGGUCCAGACAGUUGGUACAAACUGAGUGGGGCUAUAUAGUGUGUUCCUUCAAAGUAUGGCUCACUUCCUUUAACAUUAAGUCUUCCAUAUUCAUCCAGUUUGAAUCAAGUGAUAAGAUCUCACUGUUUCUUA